CUUCGACAUCACUAAUGACAUUUGCUUCUUGUUUUCGGAUCCCAUAGUCACACAAAAGUGCAGCAUAUCUUGUACGGAGUGCGUUGGGGUCAAACUCAGUCGCAAUAACUUUGUGACCAUAAGAAAAAGUUUCAUUUUUCAGGAGGGUCCUGAACAUAAAGUAAAAUUCUAUUUUUCAGAAGGGUCCUGAACAGAAAGUAAAGUCCCAUUUUUCAGGAGGGUCCUGAACAGAAAGUAAAAUCCCAUUUUUCAGGAGGGUCCUGAACAUAAAGUAAAAUCUCAUUUUUCAGGAAGGUCCUGAACAGAAAGUAAAUUCCCAUUUUUUAGGAGAGUCCUGAACGUGAAGUAAAUUCUCAUUUUCCAAGAGGGUCCUAAACUAAAAGUAAAAUCUCAUUUUUCAAGAGGAUCCUGAAUAUAAAGUAAUUUGGUGAAGAUGAUGGACAUUUUUGUGGAGCUUGCACAUGCCAUUGCAGGUAAGAAGGGGUUUGUUCAUAUGGUUGUCCACUAUAUACUGGGUAAGGAGGGGGUAAAAUGGUAUAUGGUGGGUUUUUCGGAGGGUAGUAAUGGUGGGGAGGAAUAUAUAGAGCUUGGAAAUAGGCUUGGGCUAUGGAUUGGGGAUAGGGGCGAGGCGGUCUUUUGGGAUAGGAAUGGGGUCCAACAACAAUGGUUGCCACGUCCUCUUUCUUCUUUUAAUAUCUGAAUGCACCAGAUCCACCUUGAAUACUUGUGUGGUGGCUUUCAACGCGGAAAAACUCACUAUUCGGCCGGUUUUGAUUCCGUCCUCUAUUAUCUGUUCCAUUUGGAAGACUUCAAUAAUAAACUUUCCCAUUGCUGGAAGUAAAUGUUGAAAAUAGGUCUCAUCCUGUGCCUGAAUGAAGACCUCUACUAGAUCACUUUCCUUAAUUGGAGGCUUUACCCUGGCGGCCUGUUCACGCCACCUAAUUGCAUAUUCCCUAAGGCCUUUAGUUCUUUUCUUCUUCAUGUUGACUAAGGAUUUUUUUGUCCGAAAUCAGGUUGACGUUAUACUAAAAUUAUUGCAUAAACUCAGAAGCUAAGUCAUCCCAACUAUUCCACUUGUCGAUAUCUUGAUCGACAAACCAUUCUGAAGCCAGAUCAGAAAGACUCUCGCCAAAGAAAGCCAUGAGAAACUAUUUUCUUCCCCAUGCAGCCCUCAAUUGGAUGCAAUAACAUCUCAAGUGUGCCACGGGAUCACCGUGCCUAGCAUACUUCUCGAACUUGGGCAUUUUAAAACUGAGGGAAAGGUUGACGUCUGGGAACAUGCAAAGAUCUUUAUAGGAAACACUCUUAUAAACUCCGAUUCCAUGCAAAUUCCUCAUAGCCUAUUCCAAACUUUUCAAUUUCUACGCUGACUUUCUGUUCCUCUGUUGCGACGAGUUUCUCUGUAUCAAAUGGAAAUGUAGGAGGCUGAGUGUACCCAUAGGUUCAUUCAUUCUCAAAGUAGGCUCCAGGGCAUAAUACUGACUAUCUGUAACCUUUAAUACCGGCUCACUGGAAGACCGAGAAAGCCCCAUUAUCUGACACAUAACAUAGAACACCGGUGUGAUCGGUGGUACCGGCUGAGCAGCGGGUCUUGGUUGGGGAGCUGCCAAGGGCACACUGAAGUGCCAGGAUAAUAAUGUCGCGGAGUGAAUCCUAGUGCGUGCUCAGGUGAUUCAGUAGGAGCAGAGAAUUGCGCCUGAGAGAGCGGUGAGCAAUUAAAGAUAUUCCCAAGACCUUCAGGGAGUGAAGGAGGAGGCAUGCCACUAGCCCAUGCUCGGUGCAAAUCUAUUAAUUGUUGCCUGAGCCUUACUACCUCAUCAUUGCGUUCUGAACUUUCUUCCCAAGGAUCCUGAUCUGGGUCAAUGAGCGAAUUUUCAAUCUCCCUGCUAGCCAUUGCGAGCUUUGCUUUUUGAUCUAGUAAAGUACGGGUGACUAGCCAGAGUGUUGCAAACCUACUACUGUUAUCUAAAAGAAUAUGCUCAUCAAAGACAACACUCAUUAGGAUUAGGCCAUGCAACAAGCAUGGGAAUCACAUUGGUAAAAUUGUCCUAAAUUCAAUGUUCAUUUCUACAAGCCUUUGAGGGUAGCAAGGUCAUUUUAACAUCAUCUCGAUUUCUAUCUACAUUCAUUUGCUUCUUUCCUCCAAACACACCUCUUUUCUUCGCCCUUAUUUUCCUCUUUUUUUUUGUAUCAGUCUCUGUUUUUCCCUUUCUAAUCUCAUCAUCCUUUCUUUCUUUUAUUCUCUCGCAGUUUACCUUUAUUUUAUCAUUCUUUAUGGCUUUUUCUUUUCUUUAAAAGAGGAAAAAUAAUUAAAAACAAAUGAAACAAAAUGAUUAGAUCGAACCCAAAAGUAGGUUGCCUACGUAUCAUGUUGUACAUGAAUUAGAUCUUGCAUAGUUCGGGAUGCAUAUGCAUAAACAUCACAUGAUUGAAGAAGUUUUUUUUUUCACAAAAAAUGAAAACAAACAAACGAAAGAAAAAGGUAACAUCAAAACAUUUCGACGAAAGAAACAAUAAAACAUACAAUGAAAUUAAGACAACCUCGAUACUAAUCAGCAAAUACAAAACAACAUUCUAGACCCCUAAGACGACAUACGUGAAAUUACUAAUAAAGACCAUAAUAUCAAAAUAACUUGACUCCGACUUAACACAGACACCACCCUACAAUGACAGAAACAUAAAAGACUCAAACUAAAUAAAGAUAAGAAAUGCUCUUUCAAACUGGUGCUUUGUGUGACGUCCCUGGGUGAGAUAAACCCGUCUGUGAAGUCUCCACUUUUCCACUCAGACUUUGCAACAUAUCCUGCAACGAAGACUUGACACUCGGGAACAAACUUCUCGCCUGUAUCCCUGCCUCUUGGAGAUUACACCCGAAAAGGUUUUUUUGACACCCAUCCAUAGUUAUGAUCAAACGUGAUAGCUGAACUCUUAAAAACUCCACCUUGGCACCCGGAUCUUCCUGCUCAUCGUCCUCUACCAUGAUUGCUUCCCGUAUUCGCCCUCUAAGUUGGGCUGGUAAGGGUCUACUAAUGCCACGGGGUAGAGAUUGUAGCCAUAUUUCAUAGUUUAGAGUGCACCCUAGAUUUUCCUCAAGAGUAUCGACACCUAGCUUUAUCGCGUUAUUCCAAAAUUUCUCAUAUUUGCUUUCCCCCACGACUUGGUCUUUAAAGUACUCUAUAUCUUUUAGAAGGUCCAUUAUUGGGGGGACGUCUUGCAUCCUACCCAAAUGACGUAUCACCCUUCUUGGACUGUAAGGCCUAGUGCAGUUAAGUCCUAUCAAAACCAGAAAGAGUUGCAUUUGAGAUCCAAUCAAGAUUUUCUUAGGAUGAAACCACAUAUAGGACCAAAGGAUAUUGUCCGGAGUUCUUGAUUCGAGAAAUACGAUCCAGGAAUUGACUCCCAUAGGAAAAAAAAAUUUAUCAAAACGCAUUCUCUCUUGCAUGGCUUGCACUCAAUCAUUCAGACAACGGUCGAUCAUAUAUUCUUUAAUCAAAGAAGGCAUAAGCAAAUGCUCCAUCAUCCACAACUGUAAUAUCAGAUUACUCCCCUCAAAAAAUCGUACCCCUCCUUUUACUUCAGUUAAAGCCUUAUUUAUUUCUGUUAAGAUCAUUGGAACAAUGGUGACCUCAUCUUUUUUCUUGAAUUAAGCUAUCACCAUUGAUUAUAGACGAGUAUUUUGAUACAUCUCUCAUCUAACGGGAAUACUAAGAUGCCCAACAAAGCCAGACAGAUAACCUCAAGACGACGUCGUUCCCAGUUUUUUUGGUAGUACAGAAUUCAUCCCAAAAGCAGUCGAAACCCUCUAAGGACCCAAAUCUAGCAACCAAAUAGUCCAAAGAAAUCCAAGAUUGUUUGAGAUAUCUCAGAUGCUUGUUAUCUUUCAAUCCACAGAGUCCAAGAAAUCUCUUACGAGUAUGAUUAACGGCUAAAAUCAUUUGCUGACCCAUAUAAGUCAAUUGAAACAAACGAGAUAUUUCUGCCAGGGUAGGAGUCAAUUCACAACUUCUGAACCUAAACACCAAAUUGUUUAGAUCCCAAAAAGUCAACGAAGCUUCUAUUAGAUCCGGACGGGGCGUGAGAUCCAUGAGUGCUACAAGAUUGCCUAAUAAUUUCCUCACUUCGUGCUUUUCAGAGUAUUUGAACGUGCCCCACCACUUGAUCAACUUUUUUGGGUACCUUGACAACCAUAAGGACUCUAGACUUUGUAGACAGAUCCAUCCUAUAAUAACAGAUAAGACGUUAUCUCACAAAUUUGAUAAGAGAAAAAGGUUUCCAACCAUUGGAAAUUUGAUGCGGAUAUACGUCGAUGGGACAGACCGCUUCAUGACUCCAAUUCGGCGAACAAUAACACUGAACAAAAUCAGCCUACUUGGCUAACAACUCUAGAUUAUGGGGUGAAAGGCCUAGGCUAAGACUAAGAAAAAGGCCAAAAUAAAGAUUACCGAACCCACCUAGGGUUGCCUACGUAUCCCGCCCUAAGGGACGAGAAUCAGGCAUGCGUAGUUCAUUCAGAUUUGAUAAUUAAUGAUUAAAUAACAGAUGACACCCUGACUUGAGACACGACCAAAGACACAUGAUGAACAACAUAACAAAAUCUUUUUUUUUUUUUGAGUUUUCAAUUUGACACUUUACAUAAAAAAUGACACCAACAACUAUGAAAUAAAAAAAAAUCUUUUUAGUAUUUUCGUUAUAUGAAAUGUACAAAACUUCUACCACCUUUUUUUGAAUAUUUCUUUUAUAAAAAUCCCCUAAAAAAAAUCUUUUUGGAGUUUUUGAACUGUGAAUGCUUGCUAAAGGAAACAAAAGAAAAAUCUUUUGAUUUUUUUUUUUGAAAAAUGAGUGCAAAAAGUAAAAAAAAAAAUCCCUUUUUUUUGAAUUGUGAAAAACAAAACCCAUAAAGAACCUAAAAACUAUGAAACUCUUCUUUAAUUCACCUUUUUUCUUUUUUUUUUUCCAAGCACACCUUACUUCUAACAUAUGCUUUCCCCGAAUCAGUCCGUCAAAUGACCACAUUACCCAGAAAGAUGCAACAUUUAGCACAUGGGAAUGCUUUAAAGGUGAGUCUCCAACAAAGAACUAUGUGGGCCCCGCUAGGUUUCAAUAUGAUGCACAUAAGAAUGACCUAAAGGCUGACCUACAUUGUGGUUUACUAACAAGGCCGUUUGGGGGAGCAUAUGGUCGAUAGUGGCUACUUUGCUUUCCACCUACUCCAUACAUCCAAUGGAUCCUCCCCCUAAAAUAAGGGUAAAUUAACUAGAGUUCGUGCGCAUGACAUGCACUCCGGGACUUGUUGCAAAAAGAAUUGACUCGGGUUAUGUAAAUAAUGUCAGAUAUAAAGCGGUAACACGUAAAGAAAAACUAUAAACAAAGAGCACAAAAACGCACAACAGUGAUAACAAUAACACAAACAAUAAUCAGAAACAAUGUUUAUACACCCAUAAUGCCAAACAAAGCCAAUACGACUCCAAAAAUAAGCCCGAAUUCUGAAAAGGUCCCUAGCAGAGUCGCCAGAGCUGUCACACCCCUUUUUUCACUCCAAAAAGAUAUUGUUUUUAAGUUCAAAAGGGUUUUUAUUAUCAAAGUAACAAAAGUAAAAUUUUGUUUUGAAAAAAGAUUAUUUACAUUUUUUAUUCAGAGUCGCCACUUGACAUAAUUCGGUGUGCCAAGUCACCUUUGAAAGAUCCUUUUCAAAAUGAUUUGACUCUUUAAACUGGUUUGCGAACAAAGAUUCUGGCUAAGGAAUUCUGUUGACUGAGGGAAAGGUGUUAGGCAUCCCUCGAUCCCGUGGUUCAACCACGGUUGCUUGAUGGGGCGUAUCGGCUAAUUUGACACUCUAGAUGUACAAACCACACAAAAAACACGUAAAACAAUCAAACGAACAAACAAAACAAAACGAAUCAAAAAUAUAGUGUCCAGUCCGAGUUAUACAGUCCCGAAAUAAAAAAAUACGAAAAUAUAAAUCCUAUUCUAAACUAAUCCUAGACUAAGCUCUAAUGCCUCACCCGAUGCCUCAGUCCUUCAUCACGAACGUCCUCCAAGUACAAAAUACUUCAAGGCAUUCCCCGGAUAAAAUAAUACAAGUACUUCAGGGCAUUCCCCGGUAAAAUGAAUACAUGUUUUCAAUGCGAGAAAACCAAACCAUUCAACAAAAUUUCAAACAUUCAACAAAACCACAAAUUCUAAACUUUGCCUACCCAACCUACGUUUGCCUACCCCACUCGACCUAUCAUGAUACUAUUAUGUUCAACGACCCCAAUGAAUCAAAAUAACUAAUACUUUCUUUCUAUCAAUUUUCAAUUUCCACCCCCAAUAGCCAACUUUAAUCCUCAAUCAUUGAUUAACCAAUUCUUAGACUAUCAAUUCGACUUUUAUAAUUCAAAACUAACAACAGCCAUUAUUCAUGAUUCAAACAUCAUAAAACCAACCAAAACAAGAUCCACACAUUAUCAAUUCACCCAGCAAGAUAUCAAAAUUAGAAUUACUCGAGAAAGGGAUGAGAAAUGGACCUUAAUAUCGCUUUCGAACUCAAAUAUUAUUCGAAUGAGAUGGAGUCCGCAUCGAAACCUCAAAUCAAAAACCUCAGCACGAACCCAAAUCAACAACUUCGAUCUCGAACUUGACUCUACUCGGACUCGAUUGUGGGUUUAUUGAUUUGGACUUCGACUUUGCUAUUUUCGAUGAGAUUCAAACUCGUCGGAGCACCGGCAAAUCCUAGCAGUCAGCAAAGAUGAUAUUUUCGGCGAUAUGUCAUCGGAGAACUAGAGACGAAGAGGAUUCAUGGAUUUUUGGGUCUACAGGUGGUCGGAUUUGAUAAGGGAACGCCGAUUCCGGCGAGAAAUUUUACCAAAAAACCCAAAGACCAGCCAACCUUUACCGUCGUGUUCCCUCUCUCUCUUGUUUUCUCUACCUCUCUCCCUCACAUCUUUUCUCUCUUCUCACUAUCUCUUAAUUGCCCAAUCUCUCCCUCUCGACCAGAUGAGUGUGUGUAUCCCAUGCUCUGUAUGUGUGUUUCAGAUGAGCUGUGUAUGUGUCAAUAUGUGUAAGUGUAUGUGUAUUUAUGGCGUUUUGGAGCUUUCCCAGAAAAGAAGGAAGACGACAAUGGUCCUCUCCUCUCUUCCCGUUUUCUUAUUCUCCCCCCUUUCUAUUUCUGUCUCUACCUAAAAAAUGGAAAAAUAGGGCCUUUUGUGUUUGGUCAGUGUAUGCGUAUGGAGGAUCUGUGUGGAAGAAGAGGAAAGUUGAGUCCCUCCCCCUUUUCUUUCACUGGUUUUUCACUUUUCUCUGGACUCUCAUUGCAGUGUGUAUAUUGUGAAGGUUGGUGAAGAAUUCCUCCUCCCAAAAAUGAAAAAGGAAAAUGUGAUAAAAAUGGGGUGGGGUAUGGGGUGCGCGUGAGUAGAGGUGAGGAGGUGUACG
rnacentral:lncRNA from 1 species